CACCUGCACUGUGUGGGGGGAUCCACACUACAUCACCUUUGAUGGAGCAGUGGCUCAUUUCCAGGGAACUUGCUCCUACAUCAUCGCUGAGAGCACAAAUCAUGGCACUAACGAAACUCAGUUUCAGGUGAUAGCCACCAACAAUCACCGUGGUAACAACCGUGUGUCAUUUGUGUCAGCAGUGGACAUAUAUCUCUCAAAUCAUCCAGAAAGUGUGUACAUCAGGAUCGGACCCAAUAAAAGAGUAAAUGGAAAUGAUGUUUCUCUUCCCACCACAGUGGGAAUCUUAGCUCAGGUGGUAAGGCAGGGAAGCUACAUAGUGGUUGAUGCCUCUGACUUGCUAGUCCAGUUUGAUGGUCAUAGCACUUUACUGGUCAGACUGGGCCAAAACCGUCAUGACAGAGUCACAGGGAUGUGUGGAAACUCUAACAAUGAUCCUUCAGAUGACAAAGUCUUACCCAAUGGCACACUGGCACAAAAUGAUAAUUAUUUUGGACACAGCUGGAAGUCACCCACCAGCCAACCAGGAUGUGGCUCCACUGAUGAAGA